rnacentral:lncRNA from 1 species
CGCAAACAAAGGAAAUUAUGGUUAAAACUCUCAUGUUUUUUCAAAUUAUGUUUACUUUUAUUUUUAUAUUUACCGUUGUAAUUGAAGGCUUCCCUAGUAAGAUCAUUUUUUUUUCUUCAAAUUUUCUUUAUAUGUUUCGUUCCCUAUUAUUAACAUUGUUUUUUUUCUUAUUUGACAUCACAGAAUAUAAUCACUAUCAAAAGUGUUAUAAUGACAAAGAUUGCCCUGUAUUUCUGUGUAUACCUCCUAGAGUUCCAAAGUGCAUAAGAAAGUCUUGUCGAUGUGUUGANNACUUUUUGAUCAAGUUCAAAAAUAUGUGUGUGGUACUUAUAAGAGUAUACUUGUAUUUGUAAUUAUAUAAUGUUGGUACUUUUAUUUAACCCUUCCAUAUUUGUUAGUUAAACAUUUAAAAGAAAGUCAGACCAACACACAAAUUGACCAUUUUAACUUAAUUGACGUACCAUUUUAAAUAAAAAGAAAAUAAACAUAUAGUUUUAUAUAUUUAAGAUAAUUACACUUGAAUGAAAGGUAAACGGAUGACAAGUUGCACCGCUAAUUCUUUUUAAUAGAAAAAUUAAUUCUCUUGAACACGACAUCUUAAGACCAAAAAGAUAUUGUAAUUAGAACGACAUCUAUAAGAUAUAUGGUGUAUUGGUUUGAUCUAAUAGUGAAAAAAUUGAUCGAUCAUGGACCACCAAAAGGAAGUAAUUAAUCUCGAUGAAGGAUAACGGUGUUGAUGCUGGUCAUAAGCGACUAACCGAUGUUAAAGAUGCAUUAGCGUUUCUUAAGGAUGUAAAAGUUGUGUUUCAAGAUGAGAGGGAAAAAUAUGAUGAGUUUAUAAAAAUUAUGAAUGAUUUCAAGGCUUCCAAAAUUGAAAUAAUUGGUGUCGUUUCAAGAGUGAAGGAGCUUCUUAAAGAACAUAAAGAUUUAAUUUUGAGAUUCAACAACUUCUUGCCAAAGGGAUAUGAAAUUGUAUGCCCCUCUUUCACUCGAAACCUUGUUCAAAUUUCUAUUUAUGUUUUGGUUUAGUUUUGCAUUAAUUCAAGUUAAUUUAACUGAAUUCUUAAUACUAUUAAUUCUCUUGGCGAUUGAUGAAGGGUGUCGGUGUUGAUGAUUGUCGGCUGAAUGAUGCAUUAGCGUUUAUUAAGGAGGUAAAAGUUGCUUUUCAAGAUGAGAGGGAAAAAUAUGAUGAAUUUUUAAAAAUUUUGAAGGAUUUUGAGGCGGGAAGAACCGAUUCAAUUGGUGUUACGUCAAGAUAUAUUGAAGGAGCUAUUUGAAGAGCAUAUACAUUUAAUUUUGGGAAUCAACAACUUCUUGCCAAAUGAAUAUGAAUUUAUCAUUACUAAUGAGUUGAUUGUUCAACUUAUUUCACGUAUGUAGGUUAGAAUUCAUAUAGAACUGGUUUCAUCCAUGGACAGUGGUGAUGCUUAUAUUCUGCAUGAUUACACUUUACAAGUUUGGUUUCAUCCAUGGACACUUGCUGCAGUUGAAUUUGGGAUGGAUGCUCAUAUACAUUUGGGAUUUCAUUACUGAAUUUGCUCAUGGAUAAACAAUUAAUGUGCCAUUGACGUUAAUUAACUGGUUUAUAUAGCUGCUGUCAUAUGCUAAAAUACCAUAUUUGAAGACAAUUUUUUUGGUUAUAAAGUGGCCGCUGCUGUGAUGCACAAAUUGAUUUUGUUGUCUAGUAAAUUUGAGUGUCUUCAUAUGCCAAAUUAUGUAUGUUGUCAGUUUCUCGUGUGAAAAAACAUGCCGGGAAUUGGAAGGGGGUCACUAAUGUUGGCGCAAUGAGCUCAAAACAAUCACACAGAAAAUAGGCGCACGUUGAGCUCAGUCAAAAACGCAAGAAAUAGGCACACAAUGGGCGCAAGCACGGGCACAAUUUUUAGGCUAAGUACCUGUUUCAUUGAAAGAAUGUAGCAAUAGCUAUACCAGUUUCCUUUGGUGUUGAUCAUAUUGAUAAUCGAUGUCGAAUCUCAACAACCACAAACAUGAAGAUAAAAAAAGAGAAGUAAAUUUCUCUCCUAACCUCUUGGGGGCCAACCGUGCAAACAAGCUUUGUCUUCCUCAACCCUUUAAAACCCUUCACCAUUAAACCCAUUUUUCCAUUUCUGUUCUCCCUUGUAACAAAAUCCAAGAUUUGAAACACGGUGAUUCAAAGGGUUUACAAAUAUAGUAGUAGAUUGUCUCACAGAUGAAGUAGCCAUUGACAUGAAAACCAUGGCCAUGAUGAGNNNNNNNNNNNNNNNNNNNNNNNNNNNNNNNNNNNNNNNNNNNNNNNNNNNNNNNNNNNNNNNNNNNNNNAAUUUUUUUUUUUUUUUUUUUUUGUGUGAAGUAUUUUGUUUUUAAUUCUAACUAGUUUAGACACUCAUGCCAAGCACGGGCUAGAAUUUCGUCUUAUUUAAAAUUAUUUUAACUUAUCACAUAUUAUCAUUAUCCGUAAAGUAUUAAUUUCAGUCAAAAAAAAAAAUAUCUGUAAAGUAUUAAUUAAUAUCAUAUAUUGUCCGCAUAUUUUUUUUUAUUUUUUGGUGAACCAAAUAUAUAUUCCGCAUUAAACUGUUGAGACUAAUCCACUCAAAGUAACUGAGUUCCAUUUAAAAGGUUGAGAUACAUUUAUAGGGUAUUUUUAUUUAUUGAGGUGUUUUUCUUUUUCCACAAUUAGAUUUAAAAUAAUGGCUAGGAUUAAUUGUUGAAAGAGAUUGAGACAAAUAGAGAUUAAGAGGAUCCAAAUCCAGAAUAAUCAAUGUGUUAUUCCUGCAACCAUAAUUUUGUUCGUGUGUAUAUCAUGAAAGGAUAAAAGAGUAACAAAAAGAAUAAUUUCCAGGUGUGAUAAAAUCAGUGUGCUGACAACCAAUCGUUAGUUGAUUCAGUGGUGAUUGACGUUGAACUUGAUAGAGAGGAUCACGGUUUUAUUUCCCGCAACUGCGGUUGGGAAAGGCUGGAACCACUUAAUGACAAACCUGACCUCGAACCAGAUUAAAUUUGAUAAUGAAAGGAAAAAAAAAUCAAUGUGCCGAUGAUUACACAACAUAUCAAUCACCAACAUUUAAUAAUAGAGUUUAAUUGAUAUGCACUGACGGUGUAAAAUAGUUUUACACGAUCGUCCAAUAAAUAACCAUCAUUUUGUCAUGUCAUGUCAAGAAAGUGGGGUGAAGUGAGGUGAUGUGGCGGAAAACAUAGUUGGUAUUGGUUGACAGUGUAAAAUUAUUUUACNNNNNNNNNNNNNNNNNNNNNNNNNNNNNNNNNNNNNNNNNNNNNNNNNNNNNNNNNNNNNNNNNNNNNNNNNNNNNNNNNNNNNNNNNNAAUAGAUUUAACUUAUGGUGAAAGCAAAAAAAAAAAAAAACUGCGUGUUGACAAACACAACAUAUCAAUGCAGCCAAGAGACAUUUAAUGAUAAUUCUAAUUUUAAUAAUUGGGAUUUUCACACUAUAAAAUGAUCAUACAAUUUUUAAACUUUACACGUAAACAAAACAAAUUAUGGCUAAAACUCUCAUGUUUUUUCAAAUUAUGUUUACUUUUAUUUUUAUAUUUACCAUUGUAAUUGAAGGCCUCCUCCCUAGUAAGAUCGAAUUUUUUUCCGUCAAAUUUUCUUUAUAUGUUUUAUUCCCUAUUAUUAACAUUCGUUUUUUCUUAUUUGACAUCGCAGAAUAUAAUUUCAAUAAGAAGUGUUUUAAUGACAAGGAUUGCCCUAAAUUUCUAUGUAUACCUCCUAGUGUUCCAAAGUGCUUAAGGAACCAUUGUCGAUGUGAUGACAAUUGAAUCGCAUCCUCAAAAGUUAUAAAAAAUGGUCAUUAGUGCUACCGUUAUUGAUAAUAAUUUUACCUUCCCCACUUUUUGAUCAAGUUCAAAAAUAUAUUUGUGGUACUUCUAAGAGUAUAAUUGUAUUUGUAAAGUUGGUACUUUUAUGCUUUAUUUCACCCUUCCAUAUUUGUUAGUUAAACCUUUAAAAUUUAUUUGUUUGACUCAUAAGUAUAUUAUUGUAUUAUGCAAGUGUUGUUACAUAUUCCUUUGCUUUUAGAAGUUAUCAAGAAUAAACUACACAAAUAUAACCGUAACAUUCUUCAAAAUAUAUAUACAUCUGGAGUAGUAAACAAAGGCAAUAUAUGCUCAAAUGUAGUAUAAUUAUUCUAUUUAAAUAUAGUAUGAUUAAAUAAAAAUGUGAACUUUAAUUGAAUUGAUAAAAUUAUCGAAAAGAGCUAAAUUUCAUGAUUGACAAUGGGUAGGGGUAUGAGUAUGAUACUAUAGUAUUCAUUUUCAUACCCGCAGUUUGAAAAAAUACUCGUACUCAACCUCAUAUACUCGUGUGGGUAAAAACCUUUGUACCCGUACUCGUAUCACUACAAGAAAAACAUACAUUUGCGGCGGCCAAAAGCCCACGCAAAGGCACAAAAAGCCAACACAGAGGAUUAUUUGCGGCGGAAAUUUGUCACGGGAAAACUGGGGUAGAAAAUAGUUGCGGUUAUUUUGCAAAAGGCAGCCGCAAAUGUGUCUGUCAGAUCAUUGCGUCGGUUACUUUCUGCCGCAAACUUUGAUGGGAAUUUCAAAAUUCAGAUACGUUUGCAUGGCAAUAAAACCGACGGAACACUGUGCCCAGUUUGAUUAAGCCAGACCUAGUGCGGCGGACAGAAGGCCGCCGGAAAUGCCAAGUAAUUAAAAAAAUUAAUUUAUCAUCAAAUUUUAAAAAUCAAUUUAUCAUCUUCUUCAUUUUUGUUGAUUUAUCAAAUUUUAUGAUCAAAUUCAUUUUUAUCGUUGUUGAUUUAUCUUCUUCAUUCUUUGUUUUUACAUAAUUUUCAAUAAACUUAUGUUUUGCUUCGGUACAUCAAAAAAUAUUCUUAACAGUAUUUCUUUUUAGUUAACAUUAUUUUUAGAUUUAGAACUAAAAAAAAAACUACAUGACUAAAUAGACACUUCAUUUUUGUACAAAAAAAAUUAGAUACUUCAUUUAGGUUAUCAAUUCAUUCACAUAAUCAAACCAAAUAGAUCCAUUGUUGCUAUUGUUGUUUUAUAAAGAAAAUAAAAUCCAUAUGAGAAGUAAAAGAAAAAUCUUCUGCCCAACAAUAGAUCCAAAAAUUAAUAUGGAAUAAUCUAUUAAUAUUUGAAAAAGAAAUGUUUAGAAAGAUGAAAUACUUAAAAAAAAAAUUCAUAAUCAUGUAAAAAAAACUACAGAAGCGUGUUUACAAUAAAUUUUUCUUUUUCUUAUAUGAUACAAAUUUUUAGAUUCAAACCCAAAUUCGGAUUUGUUGUUCUUGUUGUUGUUUGCAUGAUAUAGUGUAGAAGAAGAACACACACAGCAGAAGUAGCCAUUUGUUUUUGGACAGUGAAUGUUUUUGGACAACAUUACGAUGCCAACCUUUUGAACUCUUUUUGUUUAUUAAUUUCUUAAAAAAAAUAUGGAUGAUAUACAACGGUGAAUUUUGUAAAAUUCGUAUUCGUUAUAAUAGUAUUCAUGACUUGUGCACCAUGAAAAACUUGGUAAAGUAUUUCACCGUAGAUUUGGCCUAAAUAUUCGUCCAAUAAAAAAAAUCACAUGAAAUUUCUUUUCUUUUUUUUUUGUGUGAAGUAUUUUGUUUUUAAUUCUAACUAGUUUAGACAUCCACGGGCUAGAAUUUCGUCUUAUUUAAAAUUAUUUUAACUUAUCACAUAUUAUCAUUAUUUGUAAAGUAUUAAUUUUUGUCAAAAAAAAUAUCUAUAAAGUAUUAAUUAAUAUCAUAUAUUGUCCGCAUAUUUUUUUAUUUUAUUUUUUGGUGAACCAAAUAUAUAUUUCGCAUUAAACUGCUGAGACUAAUCCACUCGAAGUAACUGAGAUCCAUUUAAAAGGUUGAGAUACAUUUAUAGGGUAUUUUUAUUUAUUGAGGUGUUUUAUUUUUUCCACGGUUAGAUUUAAAAUAAUAGCUAGGAUUAAUUGUUGAAAGAGAUUGAGACAAAUUGAGAUUAAGAGGAUCCAAAUCCGGAAUAAUCAAUGCGUUAUUCCGGCAACCAUAAUUUUGUUCACAUGUAUAUCAUGAAAGGAUAAAAGAGUAACAAAAAGAAUAAUUUCCAGGUGUGAUAAAAUCGGUGUGCCGACAAUCAAUCCUUAGUUGGUUUAGUGGUGAUUGACGCUGAACUUGGUAGAGAGGACUACGGUUCGAUCCCCAGCAACUGCGAUCAGGAGGGAGUUUGAACAACUUGAUACCAGAACUGACUCCCGAACUAGAUUAAACUGGUGGUGAAAGAAAAAAAAAAUCAAUGUGCUGACAAACACAACAUAUCAAUGCACCCAAGAGACAUUUAAUGAUAAUUCUAAUUUUAAUAAUUGGGGUUUUCACACUAUAAAAUGAUCAUACAAUUUUUAAACUUUACACGCAAACAAAACAAAUUAUGGCUAAAAAAACUCUCAUGUUUUUUCAAAUUAUGUUUACUUUUAUUUUUAUAUUUACCAUUGUAAUUGAAGGCUUCCCUAGUAAGAUCGUUUUUUUUUCCUUCAAAUUUUUUUUAUAUGUUUUAUUCCCUAUUAUUAACAUUCGUUUUUUCUUAUUUGACAUCACAGAAUUUAAUUCCGAUCAGAAGUGUUAUGGUGACAAGGAUUGCCCUAAAUUUCUGUGUAUGCCUCCUAGUGUUCCAAAGUGCUUAAGGAACCAUUGUCGAUGUGUUGACAAUUGAAUCUCAUCCUCAAAAGUUGUAAAAAUGGUCAUUAGUGCUACCGUUAUUGAUAAUAAUUUUACCUUCCCCAUUUUUUGAUCAAGUUCAAAAAUAUAUUUGUGGUACUUCUAAGAGUAUAUAAUUUUAUUUGUAAUUAUAAUGUUGGUACUUUUAUGCUUUAUUUCACCCUUCAAUAUUUGUUAGUUAAACCUUUAAAAUUUAUUUGUUUGACUCAAAAGUAUAAUAUUGUAUUAUGCAAGUGUUGUUACAUAUUCCUUUGCUUUUAGAAGUUAUCAAGAAUAAACUACACAA